rnacentral:misc_RNA from 1 species
GAAGAAUGCCAAACAUUAGCGAACUUCACCUUUUCUGUUGUCCAGUUGAUGAGAAAGUAUAUGCACGUGGAGGUUCAGUUUGAGUACGAAUAGAAAGUUCAUGGAGAUCUCCAAGUCUAUUCGAGAGUUGUGUGAGAUAAUAUCCACCCCAUAAGGAUUCUGAGAUCCUACUUGUUCCACAAUCAUAAUUCUGAAAUCAUUUGUCUUUCUUUACAAGC